rnacentral:rRNA from 1 species
AGAGUUUGAUCCUGGCUCAGGAUGAACGCUGGCGGCGUGCCUAAUACAUGCAAGUCGAGCGAAUGGAUUAAGAGCUUGCUCUUAUGAAGUUAGCGGCGGACGGGUGAGUAACACGUGGGUAACCUGCCCAUAAGACUGGGAUAACUCCGGGAAACCGGGGCUAAUACCGGAUAACAUUUUGAACUGCAUGGUUCGAAAUUGAAAGGCGGCUUCGGCUGUCACUUAUGGAUGGACCCGCGUCGCAUUAGCUAGUUGGUGAGGUAACGGCUCACCAAGGCAACGAUGCGUAGCCGACCUGAGAGGGUGAUCGGCCACACUGGGACUGAGACACGGCCCAGACUCCUACGGGAGGCAGCAGUAGGGAAUCUUCCGCAAUGGACGAAAGUCUGACGGAGCAACGCCGCGUGAGUGAUGAAGGUUUUCGGAUCGUAAAGCUCUGUUGUUAGGGAAGAACAAGUACCGUUCGAAUADGGCGGUACCUUGACGGUACCUAACCAGAAAGCCACGGCUAACUACGUGCCAGCAGCCGCGGUAAUACGUAGGUGGCAAGCGUUGUCCGGAAUUAUUGGGCGUAAAGGGCUCGCAGGCGGUUUCUUAAGUCUGAUGUGAAAGCCCCCGGCUCAACCGGGGAGGGUCAUUGGAAACUGGGGAACUUGAGUGCAGAAGAGGAGAGUGGAAUUCCACGUGUAGCGGUGAAAUGCGUAGAGAUGUGGAGGAACACCAGUGGCGAAGGCGACUCUCUGGUCUGUAACUGACGCUGAGGAGCGAAAGCGUGGGGAGCGAACAGGAUUAGAUACCCUGGUAGUCCACGCCGUAAACGAUGAGUGCUAAGUGUUAGGGGGUUUCCGCCCBUUAUUGCUGCAGUUAACACAUUAAGCACUCCGCCCGGGGA